GACGAACGCUGGCGGCGUGCUUAACACAUGCAAGUCGAACGGAAAGGCCCUGCUUUUGUGGGGUGCUCGAGUGGCGAACGGGUGAGUAACACGUGAGUAACCUGCCCUUGACUUUGGGAUAACUUCAGGAAACUGGGGCUAAUACCGGAUAGGAGCUCCUGCUGCAUGGUGGGGGUUGGAAAGUUUCGGCGGUUGGGGAUGGACUCGCGGCUUAUCAGCUUGUUGGUGGGGUAGUGGCUUACCAAGGCUUUGACGGGUAGCCGGCCUGAGAGGGUGACCGGCCCAAAGGGGACUGGAAAACGGCCCAGGUCCCACGGGGGGGAAGGAGGGGGGAAUAUUGCAAAAGGGGCGGAAGCCUGAUGCAGCAACCCCGGGGGGGGGAUGGCGGCCUUCGGGUUGUAAACCGCUUUCGCCUGUGACGAAGCGUGAGUGACGGUAAUGGGUAAAGAAGCACCGGCUAACUACGU
rnacentral:rRNA from 1 species